CAAAGGCUUCGGCCGGUAAAGGAUGGGGAUGCGUCUGAUUAGCUUGCCGGCGGGGUAACGGCCCACCGGGGCGACGAUCAGUAGGGGUUCUGAGAGGAAGGUCCCCCACAUUGGAACUGAGACACGGUCCAAACUCCUACGGGAGGCAGCAGUGAGGAAUAUUGGUCAAUGGGCGCGAGCCUGAACCAGCCAAGUAGCGUGCAGGACGACGGCCCUAUGGGUUGUAAACUGCUUUUAUACGGGGAUAAAGUAUGCCACGUGUGGUUUAUUGCAGGUACCGUAUGAAUAAGGACCGGCUAAUUCCGUGCCAGCAGCCGCGGUAAUACGGAAGGUCCGGGCGUUAUCCGGAUUUAUUGGGUUUGAAGGGAGCGUAGGCCGGGUUUUAAGCGUGCCGUGAAAUGUCGGGGCUCAACCUUGACACUGCGGCGCGAACUGGAGUCCUUGAGUGCGCGGAACGUAUGCGGAAUUCGUGGUGUAGCGGUGAAAUGCUUAGAUAUCACGAAGAACCCCGAUUGCGAAGGCAGCAUACGGCAGCGCUACUGACGCUGAAGCUCGAAGGCGCGGGUAUCGAACAGGAUUAGAUACCCUGGUAGUCCGCGCGGUAAACGAUGGAUGCCCGCUGUUGGCGAUAUAUUGUCA
rnacentral:rRNA from 1 species